GACGAACGCUGGCGGCGUGCUUAACACAUGCAAGUCGAACGGAAAGGCCCCUUCGGGGGUACUCGAGUGGCGAACGGGUGAGUAACACGUGAGUAACCUGCCCUUGACUUCGGGAUAACUUCAGGAAACUGGGGCUAAUACCGGAUAGGAAUCCUUGCUGCAUGGUGGGGGUUGGAAAGCUUCGGCGGUUUUGGAUGGACUCGCGGCUUAUCAGCUUGUUGGUGGGGUAGUGGCUUACCAAGGCUUUGACGGGUAGCCGGCCUGAGAGGGCGACCGGCCACAUUGGGACUGAGAUACGGCCCAGACUCCUACGGGAGGCAGCAGUGGGGAAUAUUGGACAAUGGGCGGAAGCCUGAUGCAGCAACGCCGCGUGCGGGAUGACGGCCUUCGGGUUGUAAACCGCUUUCAGCAGGGGAGAAGCUUGUGGUGACGGUACCUGCAGAAGAAGCACCGGCUAACUACGUG
rnacentral:rRNA from 1 species